rnacentral:rRNA from 1 species
UACGUAGGGUCCGAGCGUUGUCCGGAGUUACUGGGCGUAAAGCGCGCGCAGGCGGCCCGCGAGGUGUCACGUGAAAGCCCCGGGCUCAACUCGGGAGGGUCGUGGCAAACCGGCGGGCUUGAGGCCGGUAGAGGUGGGUGGAAUUCCUGGUGUAGCGGUGAAAUGCGCAGAUAUCAGGAGGAACACCGGUGGCGAAGGCGGGUCUCUGGGCCGAUAUCGACGCUGAGGAGCGAAAGCGUGGGGAGCGAACAGG